GACGAACCGUGCGAACGUUGUUCGGAUUCACUGGGCUUAAAGGGCGCGUAGGCGGGCGAUCAAGUCAGGGGUGAAAUCUUUCGGCUUAACCGGAAAAGUGCCUUUGAUACUGGUCGUCUCGAGGGAGGUAGGGGCGUGUGGAACUUCCGGUGGAGCGGUGAAAUGCGUAGAUAUCGGAAGGAACACCGGUGGCGAAAGCGACGCGCUGGACCUCUUCUGACGCUGAGGCGCGAAAGCCAGGGGAGCAAACGGG
rnacentral:rRNA from 1 species